CACGGGGGGAGCAAGCGUUGUUCGGAAUCACUGGGCGUAAAGGGCGUGUAGGCGGUCAGGCAGGUCGGUUGUGAAAACUGGAGGCUCAACCUUCAGAGGUCGACCGAAACCCCCUGGCUAGAGUCCGGGAGAGGAGAGUGGAAUUCCUGGUGUAGCGGUGAAAUGCGCAGAUAUCAGGAAGAACACCCGUGGCGAAAGCGGCUCUCUGGAACGGUACUGACGCUGAGACGCGAAAGCGUGGGGAGCGAACAGG
rnacentral:rRNA from 1 species